GAUUUUGUUUAGAGUUGAUGCAUACGUUAAACUGACAUAUGACUGAUGCAUAUUCAUUAAUUUUAAAUAAUAAAAUAUAUGUAAUUAUUUAAUAUCAAAGUAUAAAAUUUUAUUUAUAUAUUUUAAGUUUAAAUAAUUUUUGUUAAUAUAUAAUAUAUAAUGUGAAAAGACCGAGAAUCUCCCUAAUAUAUAAUGUGAAAAAAAAAAAAAAGAGUUUCGGAGACUAUUAGGGGCAAAUGGGCACCCGGACCCGUCAAUGGGUGUAACUGUUGUUCUGUCUGAAAAGAGAGCUGAAAGUAUUUGCAUUUUUUAACAAGCAAAAAGAAAGAGAAGACCCGCUUAAACCCUCCCUCCUCUUUUAUAUGUUCUCUGUCUCUCUCUCCAUAACCCUUAAACCCUAAAUUUAGCAACCAUGUCACAAAUUUCCUUGUAAAUAAUCAAAACCCGUUACCCUCUCUCUCUCUCUCUCUCUCUCUCUCAAAUGUUAACAGCUAUUUCAAGAAUGAAGUGUGUGUUAUUAUCCCCACCAUUUUCACCCAUUUCCAAAACCACUCCUUCUCUCUUCUUUUCUAAUUUAGCCUCAAAAUCCAAACUUAUCUCAAAUGUCACAGCUUUUAGAAAUCCCAUGAAACCUCCUUCUCCUUUCCUUUCAAUUAUCCCAAUUCAAAAUCGAUGUCUCCAAUCUAAAUCCUCUCUUUCUCACACUUCCGGCGAGAUUCAUGUCAUUGUUGGCCCUAUGUUCGCCGGUAAAACCACCACUCUUCUCCGCCGGGUUCAGUCUGAAACCGAUGAUGGCAGCUUUCAGGUUGAAAAUGUGCUUCAGUUCGAAAAAACGUUAAAGGGUCUUUGUUAUUCGGGGAGAAUGAGUGAAGCUGUGGGGCUAUUAUGGCGUACGGGGUUUAAAAUGGAGCAUGGCACCUAUGCUCUUAUGUUGCAAGAAUGUAUACUCAGGAAACAAUAUAGGAUGGGAAGAAGAAUCCACGCACAAAUGGUUGUUGUUGGAUAUGUUGCUAAUGAAUAUUUAAAGAAUAAGUUAUUGAUAUUGUACGCAAAAUCUGGGGACUUAAAGACUGCCCAUAUGUUUUUUGAUAAUUUGAUGGAUAAAAGCUUGAUUUCUUGGAAUGCAAUGAUUGCUGGAUAUGUGCAAAGUGGACUUGAGGAAAUAGGCCUUAGUCUUUAUUAUAAGAUGAGACAGAAUGGUUUGACACCAGACCAGUAUACCUUUGCAUCAGCUUUUAGAGCUUGUGCUGCUUUGGCAACAUUACAGCACGGUAAGAAAGCCCAUGGUAUCAUGAUAAAGUGUAAUCUGAGAGAAAAUGUUGUAGUUAAUAGUGCCCUCAUAGACAUGUAUUUCAAAUGUAGCAGUCUCACUGAUGGGCAUAAAGCCUUUAAUAAGUCAGUGAACAGGAACAUUGUUACUUGGACUUCAUUAAUAUCUGGGUAUGGCCAGCAUGGAAGAGUUACAGAGGUUUUAGAAUCAUUUCAUAGGAUGAAAGACGAAGGUUUUAGACCAAAUUAUGUUACUUUUCUUGCAGCCCUUUGUGCCUGUAGUCAUGGAGGUUUGAUUGAUGAAGGUUGGGAUUAUUUCUUAUCAAUGAAGAGAAAUUAUGGAAUUCAGCCUAGAGGGCAACAUUAUGCAGCCAUGGUCGACCUUCUAGGUCGUGCUGGGAGGUUACAAGAAGCUUAUGAGUUUGUUCUGAAUGCACCUUGUAAAGAACACUCAGUUAUAUGGGGUGCUUUGCUCGGGGCUUGUAGGAUUCAUGGGGACAUGGACUUGGUAAAGCUUGCAGCUAAGAAAUACUUCGAAUUGAAUCCAGGAAAUGCUGGAAAGUAUGUGGUCUUGUCCAAUGCCUAUGCUUCUUUUGGGUCUUGGGGUGCUGUGGCAAAGGUUAGGGAUAUGAUGAGAGAUUCAGGAAUAAUAAAGGAGCCUGCUUGUAGCAGGAUUGAAGUUCAAGAGGAGGUGCACUACUUCUUAAUGGGUGAUAAAUCGCAUAGAAAUUUUGAGGAGAUAUGUAGGACAAUCAUCAUACUGAACUGCAUUUUAAUGGAUGCUGGCUUUGUCCCUGAUAUAAAUGACCAAUAAUUAAUGAUGAAGAAUUGAUAUUCCUUACAUUUUAAUCACAAUCUCAGCAUGGUUAUUGGCUGAGUUUCCCUUUGAUUUCAGGGCUUAGGUUGAUAAUUUGAGAUAAAGUUGUUUGUGCACUUGCCACUUAAGAAAUGUAGCAAUUAUAAAAUCAAACAAGGAUACAAGAUAUGGUUUGGAUUCAAUAGUGACACAUGAUGGGGUGAAGUUGCCUUGUGUGGCAUUGUCCAAUUUGUCAUCAUUUAGGCAAACCUUUGGCUCUGAUG